GACCACCUUCUGGAGAACCCCCCAUACCAUGCAUCUGGGGACGUUUCACCUUCCUGGUCUCCGUCCAGUCUCCACCAGUCUUCUCUGAGCUACACAUGGUCUGGACUUCUGGAGAACCCCCCAUACCACACAUCUGAGGACGUUUCACCUUCCUGGUCUCCGUCCAGUCUCCACCAGUCCACAGUCCACAGUCCACAGUCUACAGUCUACAGUCCACAGUCCACAGUCCACAGUCCACAGUCUACAGUCUACAGUCGACAGUCCACAGUCUACAGUCUACAGUCGACAGUCCACAGUCUACAGUCUACAGUCUACAGUCCACAGUCUACAGUCCGCAGUCUACAGUCCACAGUCUACAGUCCACAGUCUACAGUCCACAGUCUACAGCCUACAGUCUACAGUCCACAGUCUACAGUCCACAGUCUACAGUCCACAGUCUACAGUCCACAGUCUACAGCCUACAGUCUACAGUCUACAGUCUACAGUCCACAGUCUACAGUCCACAGUCUACAGUCCACAGUCUGCAGUCCGCAGUCCACAGUCCACAGUCCACAGUCCACAGUCCACAGUCCACAGUCGACAGUCGACAGUCGACAGUCUACAGUCGACAGUCUACAGUCCGCAGUCUGCAGUCUACAGUCCGCAGUCCACAGUCCACAGUCCACAGUCUACAGUCCACAGUCUACAGUCCACAGUCUACAGUCUACAGUCUACAGUCCACAGUCCACAGUCCACAGCCUACAGCCUACAGUCCGCAGUCCGCAGUCCGCAGUCCACAGUCCACAGCCUACAGUCUACAGUCCACAGUCCACAGUCCGCAGUCCGCAGUCUACAGUCUACAGUCCACAGUCCACAGUCCACAGUCUACAGUCGACAGUCUACAGUCCACAGUCCACAGUCUCCACCAGUCUACAGUCUACAGUCUACAGUCUACAGUCCACAGUCCACAGUCCACAGUCCACAGUCUACAGUCUACAGUCCACAGUCUCCACCAGUCUACAGUCUACAGUCCACAGUCCACAGUCCGCAGUCCGCAGUCCGCAGUCCGCAGUCCACAGUCGACAGUCCACAGUCCACAGUCCACAGUCCACAGUCUACAGUCCACAGUCUACAGUCCACAGUCCACAGUCUACAGUCUACAGUCUACAGUCCACAGUCCACAGUCUCCACCAGUCUACAGUCUACAGUCUACAGUCCACAGUCCACAGUCCACAGUCCACAGUCCACAGUCUACAGUCCACAGUCCACAGUCUACAGUCCACAGUCCACAGUCCACAGUCCACAGUCUACAGUCCACAGUCUACAGUCCACAGUCCACAGUCUACAGUCUACAGUCUACAGUCCACAGUCCACAGUCUCCACCAGUCUACAGUCUACAGUCUACAGUCUACAGUCCACAGUCCACAGUCCACAGUCCACAGUCUACAGUCUACAGUCCACAGUCUCCACCAGUCUACAGUCUACAGUCCACAGUCCACAGUCCGCAGUCCGCAGUCCGCAGUCCGCAGUCCACAGUCGACAGUCCACAGUCCACAGUCCACAGUCCACAGUCUACAGUCUACAGUCUACAGUCCACAGUCCACAGUCUCCACCAGUCUACAGUCUACAGUCCACAGUCCACAGUCCACAGUCCACAGUCCACAGUCCACAGUCUACAGUCUACAGUCUACAGUCCACAGUCUCCACCAGUCUACAGUCCACAGUCCACAGUCCACAGUCCACAGUCUACAGUCUACAGUCUACAGUCCACAGUCCACAGUCCACAGUCUACAGUCCACAGUCUCCACCAGUCUACAGUCUACAGUCUACAGUCUACAGUCCACAGUCCACAGUCCACAGUCUACAGUCUACAGUCCACAGUCCACAGUCUACAGUCUACAGUCCACAGUCUACAGUCUACAGUCUACAGUCCACAGUCUACAGUCUACAGUCUACAGUCUACAGUCUACAGUCUUGUGCUCUUUUCAACCAGUUUCCCUCCCCUAUUCUUCAUGGCAGGGUUUUUAA
rnacentral:lncRNA from 1 species